rnacentral:lncRNA from 1 species
GAGGUUUGCAGGUGACUUUACUUAAAAACGACGUAUCUAAUUUAUAUCACUUCUAAACGACGUUGCAGUUUAUUGGAAUAUUUACUUUUGAUAUUUACGUACCGGUAUGUUAAAAGUGUGUUCAAGGAAAUGAAAGUAACGCUUGACAGCGUUUGGUGUGUACCCGUCAGAUGACACUGGUGGAAACGGAAAUACCAAAUUGAUCCAAUGAAGGGCCAGGGGGAUCGAUCCUGAAACCUACCACUGCACUUGAUACUUUAUUCUAAUUACCGAAUAACCAUUGCUGCACUGCAGUACAAAUCAUUUUACUCGUUGUUUCCUACCCAUACUUUAUUUUUUAAUUAAGUUGUAUGCGUAUGGCUUGUCGAUUUAGAGUGGACGGUGGGGGUGGAGCUGUGAAUUGAAAAUUGGCGCAAACGAUGUAUGGGUUACGCAAAGACAAAUGUGUGUUUUUCAUUACGUGUUUACAUCACCCGUCAUAGAGUAUGGGUAGAAAGCACAACGAGAAAAACGAUUUGUAAAUAAUGUUUUACAUGUAAUGCGCGAACGAAAAAUAGGUGAUCUGCGCGUGCAACGCGCGAACGAAACUAUCGUUCUCGCAAUCAAUUUUCAAGGGCCUGUUUAACCAUCUUGUUUUAAUACAAAUCGUACAUCAC